GGACAUACAAACUCCAUGCAGAUCUUGUCCUUGGUUGAAGUUGACCCCAGAGCUACAAGGAACCAGUGCCAACCACUGAGCCACCAUGAAAUAAAAAGAUUUCAGAGACCGAAGAAACUAUGGAUGAAUCUGAUACAAGUUCUGUGGAUCAAGAGCAAGAAGAUGAUGAGGAAAUGAAAGAAUUACUACAGAGCAUGAAAGAUAAAGCCAGGGCACCACAUCCCAGAGCAGAUUAUUGUUUUCAAACAGACCCCGUCUGGGCCCCUGGUGAAGAGCGUCCUGGACUAGAACCUGA